GUGGUUUUGGCAUAGUGGUAACACUCCCGCCUUGCAAGGCGAAGGUUGUGGGUUCAAACCCCCACCCAAGUCGCU